GUGCAGAACACGUGUGCCACCUACCUUUAUCAGGGGGAUAGCCUUUCGAAAGGAAGAUUAAUACCCCAUAAUAUAUCAGAUGGCAUCAUUUGAUAUUGAAAACUCCGGUGGAUAGAGAUGGGCACGCGCAAGAUUAGAUAGUUGGUGAGGUAACGGCUCACCAAGUCAAUGAUCUUUAGGGGGCCUGAGAGGGUGAUCCCCCACACUGGUACUGAGACACGGACCAGACUCCUACGGGAGGCAGCAGUGAGGAAUAUUGGACAAUGGGUGAGAGCCUGAUCCAGCCAUCCCGCGUGAAGGACGACGGCCCUAUGGGUUGUAAACUUCUUUUGUAUAGGGAUAAACCCAGAUACGUGUAUCUGGCUGAAGGUACUAUACGAAUAAGCACCGGCUAACUCCGUGCCAGCAGCCGCGGUAAUACGGAG
rnacentral:rRNA from 1 species